UGGGGAAUUUUGGACAAUGGGCGAAAGCCUGAUCCAGCAAUGCCGCGUGUGUGAAGAAGGCCUUCGGGUUGUAAAGCACUUUUGUCCGGAAAGAAAUCCUUGGCUCUAAUACAGUCGGGGGAUGACGGUACCGGAAGAAUAAGCACCGGCUAACUACGUGCCAGCAGCCGCGGUAAUACGUAGGGUGCAAGCGUUAAUCGGAAUUACUGGGCGUAAAGCGUGCGCAGGCGGUUUGCUAAGACCGAUGUGAAAUCCCCGGGCUCAACCUGGGAACUGCAUUGGUGACUGGCAGGCUAGAGUAUGGCAGAGGGGGGUAGAAUUCCACGUGUAGCAGUGAAAUGCGUAGAGAUGUGGAGGAAUACCGAUGGCGAAGGCAGCCCCCUGGGCCAAUACUGACGCUCAUGCACGAAAGCGUGGGGAGCAAACAGGAUUAGAUACCCUGGUAGUCCACGCCCUAAACGAUGUCAACUAGUUGUUGGGGAUUCAUUUCCUUAGUAACGUAGCUAACGCGUGAAGUUGACCGCCUGGGGAGUACGGUCGCAAGAUUAAAACUUAAAUGAAUUGACGGGGUCAUAGCUUUUUCC
rnacentral:rRNA from 1 species